rnacentral:misc_RNA from 1 species
GUGGCAUCCAUGCCGGUCUGAGGAGUAGGUCCAUCAACUUCAAGGAGGAUAUAUUGAUUCAUCUGCAAGUUUAGUUCUUCGAGGGUUUGGGUUGUUGGAUCCAAUAUUAAUUGUUUCUGCUGGUUGAAAUAGUCCCAUAUACAUGCCUUUUCUUGCUUUAUUCCUUUAAGUGCACACACCUUCUCACGAAGAUCAAAUAUGGUGGCCUUCUUGCUCAACCGUAUGGUGCAUUCACUUGCAUCUCUGGCAUCAAUCAAUUUUAGACAAAGUAGAUAAACCUCCACAGAAAAAUUCUUUUGAUUGACACCUACAGAUAUCAUCUUUCUUGGUAACGGUGGCCCCCCUUUGUACCAAUCAUAAAGCUUUU